GUGUCAGCAGCCGCGGUAAUACGGAAGGUGCGAGCGUUAAUCGGAAUUACUGGGCGUAAAGCGCACGUAGGUGGCUUGGUAAGUCGGAUGUGAAAGCCCCGGGCUCAACCUGGGAACGGCAUUCGAUACUGCUGAGCUAGAGUACGAAAGAGGGGGGUGGAAUUCCAGGUGUAGCGGUGAAAUGCGUAGAGAUCUGGAGGAACACCAGUGGCGAAGGCGGCCCCCUGGUUCGAUACUGACGCUGAGGUGCGAAAGCGUGGGGAGCAAACAGGAUUAGAAACCCUCGUAGUCC
rnacentral:rRNA from 1 species